rnacentral:rRNA from 1 species
AGUGAACGCUGGCGGUAGGCCUAACACAUGCAAGUCGAACGGCAGCACAGUAAGAGCUUGCUCUUACGGGUGGCGAGUGGCGGACGGGUGAAGAAUAAAUCGGAAUCUACUUUUUCGUGGGGGAUAACGUAGGGAAACUUACGCUAAUACCGCAUACGACCUACGGGUGAAAGCAGGGGAUCUUCGGACCUUGCGCGAUUGAAUGAGCCGAUGUCGGAUUAGCUAGUUGGCGGGGUAAAGGCCCACCAAGGCGACGAUCCGUAGCUGGUCUGAGAGGAUGAUCAGCCACACUGGAACUGAGACACGGUCCAGACUCCUACGGGACGCAGCAGUGGGGAAUAUUGGACAAUGGGCGCAAGCCUGAUCCAGCCAUACCGCGUGGGUGACGAAGGCCUUCGGGUUGUAAAGCCCUUUUGUUGGGAAAGAAAAGCAGCAGGUUAAUACCCCGCUGUUCUGACGGUACCCAAAGAAUAAGCACCGGCUAACUUCGUG